rnacentral:rRNA from 1 species
GGGGAAUGUUGGACAAUGGGCGCAAGCCUGAUCCAGCAAUGCCGCGUGAGUGAAGAAGGCCUUAGGGUUGUAAAGCUCUUUCGCCUGCGACGAUGAUGACGGUAGCAGGAGAAGAAGCCCCGGCUAAUUCCGUGCCAGCAGCCGCGGUAAUACGGAAGGGGCUAGCGUUGUUCGGAAUCACUGGGCGUAAAGCGCGCGUAGGCGGCUUGGCAAGUGAGGCGUGAAAGUCCUGGGCUCAACCUGGGGACGGCGCUUCAGACUGCUGGGCUUGAGUCCGGAAGAGGGUGGUGGAAUUCCGAGUGUAGAGGUGAAAUUCGUAGAUAUUCGGAGGAACACCGGCGGCGAAGGCGGCCACCUGGUCCGGAACUGACGCUCAAGUGCGAAAGCGUGGGGAGCAAAC